CAGCAUUUUGGUAGCAUUUGACAAGCCAAUUCUAUAACGUAUUUUGAAGACGUAUGGGCUAGUAAGAGCCACAAAAUUCUUUAAAGAAAGAACACAGCAGGCUUCCCUGGUGGCGCACUGGUUGAGAGUCCGCCUGCCAAUGAGGGGACGUGGGUUCGUACCCCGGUCCGGGAAGAUCCCACAUGCCACGGAGCGGCUGGGCCCGUGAGCCAUGGCCGCUGAGCCUGCGCGUCC